AACCUCCGCAAUGUGAGAAAUCGCGACGGGGGGAUCCCAAGUGCCAUUCUUAACGGGAUGGCUUUUCAUUAGUGUAAAGAGCUUUUGGAAUAAGGGCUGGGCAAGACCGGUGCCAGCCGCCGCGGUAACACCGGCAGCUCUAGUGGUAGCAGUUUUUAUUGGGCCUAAAGCGUCCGUAGCCGGUUUAAUAAGUCUCUGGUGAAAUCCUGUAGCUUAACUGUGGGAAUUGCUGGAGAUACUAUUAGACUUGAGACCGGGAGAGGUUAGAGGUACUCCCAGGGUAGAGGUGAAAUUCUGUAAUCCUGGGAGGACCGCCUGUUGCGAAGGCGUCUAACUGGAACGGUUCUGACGGUGAGGGACGAAAGUUAGGGGCGCGAACCGGAUUAGAUACCCGGGUAGUCCUAACCAUAAACGAUGCGGACUUGGUGUUGGGGUGGCUUUGAGCUGCUCCAGUGCCGAAGGGAAGCUGUUAAGUCCGCCGCCUGGGAAGUACGGUCGCAAGACUGAAACUUAAAGGAAUU
rnacentral:rRNA from 1 species